rnacentral:rRNA from 1 species
AACGCGAAGAACCUUACCUACCCUUGACAUCCUGCGAACCCUGAUGAGAGUUAGGGGUGCCGAAAGGAGCGCAGAGACAGGUGCUGCAUGGCUGUCGUCAGCUCGUGUUGUGAGAUGUUGGGUUAAGUCCCGUAACGAGCGCAACCCUUGUCCUUAGUUACCAGCAAGUUAAGUUGGGGACUCUAAGGAGACUGCCGGUGAUGAACCGGAGGAAGGCGGGGACGACGUCAAGUCAUCAUGGCCUUUAUGGGUAGGGCUACACACGUGCUACAAUGGGGCGUACAGAGGGUAGCCAAACCGCGAGGUGGAGCCAAUCUCUUAAAGCGUCUCGUAGUCCGGAUUGGAGUCUGCAACUCGACUCCAUGAAGUUGGAAUCGCUAGUAAUCGCGAAUCAGCAUUGUCGCGGUGAAUACGUUCCCGGGCCUUGUACACACCGGCUAC